rnacentral:rRNA from 1 species
GACGGGGGAUGCGAGCGUUAUCCGGAAUGAUUGGGCGUAAAGGGUCCGCAGGUGGCCCGGUCAGUCCGCUGUCAAAGCCUGGGGCUCAACCCUGGAGAGGCGGCGGAGACCACCGGGCUUGAGUCCGGUAGGGGCAGAGGGAAUUCCCGGUGUAGCAGUGAAAUGCGUAGAGAUCGGGAGGAACACCAGUGGCGAAGGCGGCUACCUGGACCAGCACUGACACUGAGGCACGAAAGCGUGGGGAGCAAACAGG